UACGGAGGGUGCAAGCGUUAUCCGGAUUCACUGGGUUUAAAGGGUGCGUAGGAGGGCAGGUAAGUCAGUGGUGAAAUCUCCGAGCUUAACUUGGAAACUGCCGUUGAUACUAUCUGACUUGAAUAUUGUGGAGGUGAGCGGAAUAUGUCAUGUAGCGGUGAAAUGCUUAGAUAUGACAUAGAACACCAAUUGCGAAGGCAGCUCGCUACACAUAUAUUGACUCUGAGGCACGAAAGCGUGGGGAUCAAACAGG
rnacentral:rRNA from 1 species